UACGAAGGGGGCUAGCGUUGCUCGGAAUCACUGGGCGUAAAGGGUGCGUAGGCGGCUUUUUAAGUCAGUGGUGAAAGACAACAGCUCAACUGUUGCAGUGCCAUUGAUACUGAAGAGCUUGAGUACAGAUGAGGUAGGCGGAAUUUAUGGUGUAGCGGUGAAAUGCAUAGAUACCAUAAAGAACACCUAUUGCGAAGGCAGCUUACUAAGCUGUAACUGACGCUGAGGCACGAAAGUGUGGGGAUCAAACAGG
rnacentral:rRNA from 1 species